GCAAAGCAACGACGACUUCAGGGGAAGUACAAUCAUAUCUUUGAUCUCUCUCUCUCUCUCCAAUUCUGAAGUCGCGAUUCAUCUUUUUCUCGAAAAUUCCCAAUUCCUGAGUCAAGAACCCUAAUUUCAAUAUGGUUUGCGUUAUGUGUUUGGUGCCGCUGUUCCUCGUCCCGCUCGUCAAUUUAAUGCCUCGCAUCAUUGAUUUCUUCAUGGCGAAAUUAUACGCGUGGCUCGGGUGGGAGUACAGGAAGCCAGCGAGAGUUCCUCCAGCUUGUCCUUUCAAACCAGCUGCUAAAAAUGAUAACGCCACAAAAGUGGGUGCUGAAACUGGAACUGAAGGUUCAGAAACAAUAGCUAAACAUGUCAUUGUGGAGGAGACGGAUGGGGUUAAGCAGGAUUGAAGCCCGGGUCCUUUUUUUUCUCAAUAAAGCUUUUGUAUUUGUGGAUAUGUUUUGGAUCAGAGAAGCUGGGAGAUGAAAUUACCCUCUUGUGAUAAUGACAAUUUUUGCAUGUGGGAGAUGUCGAAUUCCUCAGUUAAACUCGGAUCACUGAAUUAGUUGAGGUAGAAACACUUUUAAUUUAAGAUAUAGCCACUUCAAAUU